rnacentral:sRNA from 1 species
UUAUUCAUUAUGUAAGUAAAUCUCCAGAAUUGAUAGGAUACACCAAAUUUAAUUCAAUCUCUAUUGUUGUUUGUACCUUGUAGGUCUGUUCGUUUGCUCAUUUGGGAUGUCCAUCCAAAUGAUUCAUCUGACUAAUCCAUCUAAAUGAUGUUCGUUUCCAUUUUUGGUGGUUCAGUAGGAUGAUCCAUCUAAUUGUUUUUCUU